rnacentral:lncRNA from 10 species
GAUCUUUUAUGAAGAAAUGGAUUGGGAAGAAAAACAUAAGAUAAGGUUGGAACCUCUUCUGGUGCAAGAAGGUCCUAAAUAUUACUGAGGAUCUCUCAUCUUCUAGGUGAAGCUCACAAAAUUGCCCUGGAGGUUGCUGCCUUCCUGGAAGCCAGAGUGAAAAAAAAAAAGAGGACAUGCAGUUGCACAUGGGAGGAUUUUGUGGGCCAUGGUUAUCAGGGCACAAUCCCUUAGCUCACCUUUCUCUGGUGAGAAAACACUUCCAGUGCCACACCUCAGUCUCCUCCCUCUGGUGAAAAAAACACUUCCAGUGCCACACCUCAGCCUCCUUCCUCUGGUGAAAAAACAGUUCCAGUGCCAUACCUCAGCCUUUCCUCUGGUAAAAAACACUUCCAGUGCCACACCUCAGCCUCCCUCCUCUGGUGAAAAAACACUUCCAGUGCUACACCUCAGCCUCCUUCCUCUGGUGAAAAAAUACUUCCAGAGCCACACCUUACCCUCCUUCCUCUGGUGAGAAACUACUUCCAGUGCCACACCUCAGCCUCCUUCCUCUGGUGACAAAACACUUCCAGUGCCACAACUCAGCCUCCUUCGACUGGUGAGAAAACACUUCCAGUGCCACACCUCAGCCUCCUUCCUCUGCUGAGAAAACACUUCCAGUGCCACAGCUCAGCCUCCUUCCUCUGGUCACAAAACACUUCCAGUACUACACAUCACUGCUGGAGAACUGGAGAGUGGAGUCUUCCAGCCCAAGAAGAAAGAAAUAUAGGAUUUUGUCAAGUACCAGAAGUUUCUGCCACACUCAGUGGGCAUUCUUUGAGUUAGUUUUUUUAGUAUAUUUCACUAAAAACUGUGAGAGAGGAACCCUUAAUAUAGGUCCUGCAAAAAACAAGUAUUCAAUAAAUCCUGUUGAAUCAAUAAAUGAAUCACCUCUUCCAAAAUAAGCUUAAUUGUUUAAGUUACUAGCAAAAUGCCUAAAUGAAAAUUAACCAUUCUAUAGAGACAUUAUUGAGUUAGUUCAUUCAGCC